rfam:Triticum aestivum genome assembly, contig: Triticum_aestivum_CS42_TGACv1_scaffold_526372_6DL
CAUAUACUUCCUCCGUUCGAAAAUACUUGUCAUUAAAAUGGAUAAAAAAAGAUAUAUAUAGAACUAGAAUACAUCUAGAUACAUCCCCUUUUAUUCAUUUUAAUGACAAGUAUUUCCGAACGGAGGGAGUACUUA